UCGAGAAUCUUCGGCAAUGGGCGCAAGCCUGACCGAGCGACGCCGCGUGGAGGACGAAGGCCUUCGGGUUGUAAACUCCUGUCGAGGGGGAGGAAGCCGCAAGGUUGACCGAUCCCUGGAGGAAGGACGGGCUAAGUUCGUGCCAGCAGCCGCGGUAAGACGAACCGUCCUAACGGUAUUCGGAAUUACUGGGCUUAAAGCGCGUGUAGGCGGGACGGCACGUCUGUCGCUGAAAUCCCUCGGCUUAACCGAGGAACGGGCGCAGAUACGACCGUCCUGGAGGGGGGUAGGGGGACCUGGAACUUCCGGUGGAGCGGUGAAAUGCGUUGAGAUCGGAAGGAACGCCCGUGGCGAAAGCGAGGUCCUGGACCCUUUCUGACGCUGAGACGCGAAAGCCAGGGGAGCAAACG
rnacentral:rRNA from 1 species